CUGCAGCCCGAGUGGUGAUCGAUUUUAUUGAGCCUAAAGCGUCCGUAGCCGGACUAGUAAACCCUUGGGUAAAUUGGGCAGCUUAACUGUCCGAAUUCCGAGGGGACUGCUAGUCUUGGGACCGGGAGAGGUCAGAGGUACUCCAGGGGUAGGGGCUAAAUCCGAUAUGGUUUUGUGCCAGUCGGUUAGCAUUCCGUAAUCCUUGGGGGACCACCAGUGGCGAAGGCGUCUGACUAGAACGGAUCCGACGGUAAGGGACGAAACCCUGGGGCGCGAACCGGAUUAGAUACCCGAGUAGUCC
rnacentral:rRNA from 1 species